AUUGAACGCUGGCGGCAUGCUUUACACAUGCAAGUCGAACGGUAACAGGGUGCUUGCACCGCUGACGAGUGGCGAACGGGUGAGUAAUGCGUCGGAACGCACCGAGUAAUGGGGGAUAACGCAGCGAAAGCUGUGCUAAUACCGCAUACGCUCUGAGGAGGAAAGCGGGGGACCUUCGGGCUUCGCGUUAUUCGAGCGGCCGACGUCUGAUUAGCUAGUAGGUGAGGUAAGAGCUCACCUAGGCGACGAUCAGUAGCGGGUCUGAGAGGAUGAUCAGCCACACUGGGACGGAGACACGGCCCAGACUCCUACGGGAGGCAGCAGUGGGGAAUUUUGGACAAUGGGCGCAAGCCUGAUCCAGCCAUGCCGCGUGUCUGAAGAAGGCCUUCGGGUUGUAAAGGACUUUUGUCAGGGAGGAAAUCCUUAGCGCUAAUACCGUUGAGGGAUGACAGUACCUGAAGAAUAAGCACCGGCUAACUACGUGCCAGCCGCCGCCGUAA
rnacentral:rRNA from 1 species